rnacentral:rRNA from 1 species
GUACACUCCUGCGGGAGGCAGCAGUGGGGAAUUUUACGCAAUGGGGGAAACCCUGACGUAGCGACACCGCGUGAGCGAAGAAGCCCUUUGGGGUGUAAAGCUCUGUCAGCUGGAACGAAAACAAUGACGGUACCAGCAGAGGAAGCAUCGGCUAACUACGUGCCAGCAGCCGCGGUAAGACGUAGGAUGCGAGCGUUGUCCGGAUUUAUUAGGCGUAAAGAGUUCGUAGGUGGUUUGUUAAGUUUGGUGUUAAAGAUCGGGGCUCAACCCUGGGACUGCACUGAAUACUGGCAGACUCGAGUGUGGUAGAGGCUAGUGGAAUUCCCAGUGUAGCGGUGAAAUGCGUAGAUAUUGGGAAGAACACCGGUGGCGUAGGCGACUAGCUGGGCCAUAACUGACGCUGAGGAACGAAAGCCAGGGGAGCGAAUGGGAUUAGAAACCCUGGUAGUCCCAUG